rnacentral:ncRNA from 1 species
CCGCAACACGGACGCAGGGAUCCUCGGGGCAAGUAGUUCGGUCGCCGGGUGUGAUGGGGAAAGGGGCCCCGGAGCAUCCGUUCCGAGGGGAGCGAAUGGCGAGACCGGCCGUGGUGUCA